rnacentral:rRNA from 1 species
UACGUAGGGUGCGAGCGUUGCCCGGAUUUAUUGGGCGUAAAGGGCGCGUAGGCGGCCACGCACGUCCGUUGUGAAAUCGCCCGGCUCAACUGGGCGGGGUCGGCGGAUACGGCGUGGCUGGAGCAAGCUAGGGGGCAAUGGAAUUCCCGGUGUAGUGGUGGAAUGCGUAGAUAUCGGGAGGAACACCAGUGGCGAAGGCGGUUGCCUGGAGCUUUGCUGACGCUGAGGCGCGAAAGCCAGGGGAGCAAACGGG